AAUAGAUACCCCGGUAGUCCACGCCGUAAACGAUGAGUGCUAAGUGUUAGAGGGUUUCCGCCCUUUAGUGCUGCAGCUAACGCAUUAAGCACUCCGCCUGGGGAGUACGGUCGCAAGACUGAAACUCAAAGGAAUUGACGGGGGCCCGCACAAGCGGUGGAGCAUGUGGUUUAAUUCGAAGCAACGCGAAGAAUCUUACCAGGUCUUGACAUCCCACUGACCGGUAUAGAGAUAUACCUUUCCCUUCGGGGACAGUGGUGACAGGUGGUGCAUGGUUGUCGUCAGCUCGUGUCGUGAGAUGUUGGGUUAAGUCCCGCAACGAGCGCAACCCUUGAUCUUAGUUGCCAGCAUUUAGUUGGGCACUCUAAGGUGACUGCCGGUGACAAACCGGAGGAAGGUGGGGAUGACGUCAAAUCAUCAUGCCCCUUAUGACCUGGGCUACACACGUGCUACAAUGGAUGGUACAAAGGGCUGCAAGACUGCGAAGUCAAGCCAAUCCCAUAAAACCAUUCUCAGUUCGGAUUGCAGG
rnacentral:rRNA from 1 species